UACGAAGGGGGCUAGCGUUGCUCGGAAUGACUGGGCGUAAAGGGCGCGUAGGCGGUUCGUACAGUCAGACGUGAAAUUCCCGGGCUCAACCUGGGGCUGCGUUUGAUACGUGCGGGCUUGAGUUCGGAAGAGGGUCGUGGAAUUCCCAGUGUAGAGGUGAAAUGCGUAGAUAUGUGGAGGAACACCGAUGGCGAAGGCAGCCCCCUGGGUCAAGACUGACGCUCAUGCACGAAAGCGUGGGGAGCAAACAGG
rnacentral:rRNA from 1 species